rnacentral:rRNA from 1 species
CCUACGGGAGGCAGCAGUAGGGAAUCUUCGGCAAUGGGGGCAACCCUGACCGAGCAACGCCGCGUGAGUGAAGAAGGUUUUCGGAUCGUAAAACUCUGUUGUUAGAGAAGAACGUUAAGUAGAGUGGAAAAUUACUUAAGUGACGGUAUCUAACCAGAAAGGGACGGCUAACUACGUGCCAGCAGCCGCGGUAAUACGUAGGUCCCGAGCGUUGUCCGGAUUUAUUGGGCGUAAAGCGAGCGCAGGUGGUUUAUUAAGUUUUGGGUAAAAGGGCGGGGGUCAACCAUUGGAUGCAUUUGAAACUGGUAGACUUGAGUGCAGGAGAGGAGAGUGGAAUUCCAUGUGUAGCGGUGAAAUGCGUAGAUAUAUGGAGGAACACCGGAGGCGAAAGCGGCUCUCUGGCCUGUAACUGACACUGAGGCUCGAAAGCGUGGGGAGCAAACAGGAUUAGAUACCCUAGUAGUC